rnacentral:rRNA from 1 species
UACGUAGGGUGCAAGCGUUAAUCGGAUUUACUGGGCGUAAAGAGCGCGCAGGCGGUCGUUCAAGUCGAGUGUGAAAGCCCCCGGCUCAACUGGGGAGGGUCACUCGAUACUGAUCGACUCGAAGGCAGGAGAGGGAAGCGGAAUUCCCGGUGUAGUGGUGAAAUGCGUAGAUAUCGGGAGGAACACCAGUGGCGAAGGCGGCUUUCUGGCCUGUUCUUGACGCUGAGGCGCGAAAGCUAGGGUAGCAAACGGG